AUUUGUCUGGUUAAUUCCGAUAACGAACGAGACCUUAACUUGCUAGCUAGUUCUCAAUACUCUGUAUUCUGCAACUUCUUAGAGGGACUAUGUAAAUCAAUUACAUGGAAGUUUGAGGCAAUAACAGGUCAGUGAUGCCCUUAUAUGUCCUGGGCUGCACGCGUGCUACACUGAUGCAUACAACAAGUGCCUAGCCAGACAUGGUAUGGCAAUCUCGAAUAUGCAUCGUGAUGGGGAUAGAUCUUUGCAAUUAUAGAUCUUGAACGAGGAAUUCCUAGUAAGUGCAAGUCAUCAUCUUGCAUUGACUAUGUCCCUGCCCUUUGUACACACCGCCCGUCGCUCCUACCGAUACCGGGUGAUCCGGUGAACCUUUUGGACUCCGUAUGGGGGAAGAUAAGUAAACCAUAUCACCUAGAGGAAGGAGAAGUCGUAACAAGGUUUCCGUAGGUGAACCUGCRGAAGGAUCA
rnacentral:rRNA from 1 species